AUGUCUUAUUACACCGCCAUUCCCUGGGAGUUAGACCUGCGGAAAGAUUGUUCUAAUAAGCAAUUGGCAUUUGGGUCUGAGAGACGUAGGGGCCUCAGGACAGCCUGGUUGGAGGAUAUCACCACCUCCCCGUCCCACGAUGCCGGGGAUGUUCCUGCCCCUGCCCCUGCCUUCGAGCCUCUCCCCUUUGCUCUGUGCAGCUGGGCAGUGACUGGGGAAAUCAUCUCCGCUGCAAAGACACGUGGAGCUGAGAAGGAAACCCCAAGGGAUGGCGAGUGGGCCACCUUCCCCGUCCGGAAGGGAACAUCCUUCUCGGUUAUUCUUGGUGUGACCUUGUCCAGAUUCAGCCUCUGCUCAGCACUUCCCUUACACCUUCCUUCUCUGAAAAAAAUAGACUGUUAGUAUCCUCUGCAGUCUCCCUAAACCCACGCUUAUGCACUAAUGUGUACUUGCACAACAAAGGCAUUUUUGUCAGCCAUUUCUGUGGCUCUUUUCUGGACGAUUUCCAUUUUUCAGUGGUUUUUCAAAGCGCCAGCAGCAGAGCUGGAGGCGGUGGGCAGGAUGGGGCUCACACAGCCACCACGCCCCAGUGGCCGUGUCCCCAUCACCCCCCGCGUCCCUGGAGCCUCAGCCUCCUCGGGGCCCCCCUCCUGACCCCGUGAGCCCCCCCGGAGCUGCCGUUCUCCACCUCGGGGUGCGUGCUGCCCCGCUGGGCUGGGCAGGACCAGCCGGGAGCCCCUGCGCUGCAGCCGCCCCGCUGCCUCUGCCACUGCAAGCCCAAUCUCAUUACAGAGCAAAAUCAGAUUUGUUUGGCAAGAUCUAUUUCCAUAAAGCUGUGCUGACUGACACUAAUUCCUCCUCUAUUAAAUUCCUUAUCAUUUUUCCCCCUCUGCUGCCGAGGCCGGGUUGCCCCUUUUGCUCUCUCUGCGGGCAGACAAGGCAGCGCCGGCCGAGGACCGCGAUCCCUGGUCCCAGCUCCAAACCCUCCCAGACGUGUGUUACGGGGCAUGCGGCGUCCUCAGAGGCUGCUGCCGGCCUUAUCUGCUCCUCUGCACCCAGCCCAGCCAGCUGCCGGGUUCUCCUCCAUGCCUUUACCUCCCCUUGACUGUUUUCGAAACUUCGAAUCUCCAUCUAUCUCCCUUACUAUCACUUCCCCCUCUUUCCUGAUGGAUGUUUCCUGUUCCUAGCUUUUUGUGCUAAGACUUUCAUUAAAAUAAGAGAUGGACAUUUAAGCACAAUUUUUGACUUAAAAUACAGCUGCUGUUUGUCCAAUGAAUUUUCAUUAAAGAAUUUCCUUAUUUCCCUCUGAUUUGGGGGCCUGAUUUUUCUUCCUCGGCAGCCUAGGGGACAUCAGUCUUUCAGAAGCAACAAAUCCACAGCUUCAUUAGCUCUACACUUUGUU
rnacentral:lncRNA from 1 species